rnacentral:rRNA from 1 species
AGAGUUUGAUCCUGGCUCAGGACGAACGCUGGCGGCGUGCUUAACACAUGCAAGCCGAACGGAAAGGCCCUUCGGGGUACUCGAGUGGCGAACGGGUGAGUAACACGUGGGUGAUCUGCCCUGCACUUUGGGAUAAGCCUGGGAAACUGGGUCUAAUACCGAAUACACCCUUCUGGCUGCAUGGUCUGGGAGGGGAAAGCUUUUGCGGUGUGGGAUGGGCCCGCGGCCUAUCAGCUUGUUGGUGAGGUUACGGCUCACCAAGGCGACGACGGGUAGCCGGCCUGAGAGGGUGACCGGCCACACUGGGACUGAGAUACGGCCCAGACUCCUACGGGAGGCAGCAGUGGGGAAUAUUGCACAAUGGGCGCAAGCCUGAUGCAGCGACGCCGCGUGAGGGAUGACGGCCUUCGGGUUGUAAACCUCUUUCGCCAGGGACGAAGCGCAAGUGACGGUACCUGGGAGAAGAAGGACCGGCCAACUACGUGCCAGCAGCCGCGGUUAAUACGUAGGUCCGAGGCGUUGUUCCGGAAUACUGGGCGUAAGAGCCUCGUAGGUGGUUUGUCGCGUUGUUCGUGAAAACUCCACCAGCUCCAACUGUGGGCGUGGCGGGCGAUACGGGCAGACUGGAGUACUGCAGGGGGAGACUGGAAUUCCUGGUGUAGCGGUGGAAUGCGCAGAUACCAGGAGGAACACCGGUGGCGAAGGCGGGUCUCUGGGCAGUAACUGACGCUGAGGAGCGAAAGCGUGGGGGGCGAACAGGAUUAGAUACCCUGGUAGUCCACGCCGUAAACGGUGGGUACUAGGUGUGGGUUUCCUUCCUUGGGAUCCGUGCCGUAGCUAACGCAUUAAGUACCCCGCCUGGGGAGUACGGCCGCAAGGCUAAAACUCAAAGAAAUUGACGGGGGCCCGCACAAGCGGCGGAGCAUGUGGAUUAAUUCGAUGCAACGCGAAGAACCUUACCUGGGUUUGACAUGCACAGGACGUGCCUAGAGAUAGGUAUUCCCUUGUGGCCUGUGUGCAGGUGGUGCAUGGCUGUCGUCAGCUCGUGUCGUGAGAUGUUGGGUUAAGUCCCGCAACGAGCGCAACCCUUAUCUUAUGUUGCCAGCGCGUAAUGGCGGGGACUCGUGAGAGACUGCCGGGGUCAACUCGGAGGAAGGUGGGGAUGACGUCAAGUCAUCAUGCCCCUUAUGUCCAGGGCUUCACACAUGCUACAAUGGCCGGUACAAAGGGCUGCGAUGCCGUGAGGUGGAGCGAAUCCUUUCAAAGCCGGUCUCAGUUCGGAUCGGGGUCUGCAACUCGACCCCGUGAAGUCGGAGUCGCUAGUAAUCGCAGAUCAGCAACGCUGCGGUGAAUACGUUCCCGGGCCUUGUACACACCGCCCGU